rnacentral:rRNA from 1 species
CGUGUAGGCGGCCAGAUAAGUCAGAUGUGAAAGCCCGGGGCUCAACCCCGGAAGUGCAUUUGAAACUGUUUGGCUUGAGUGCGGGAGAGGAAAGCGGAAUUCCCAGUGUAGAGGUGAAAUUCGUAGAUAUUGGGAGGAACACCGGUGGCGAAGGCGGCUUUCUGGACCGACACUGACGCUGAGGCGCGAAAGCGUGGGGAGCAAACA